AACACAACCGCUGAAGAAAGAAACAAUACGCUGAUGUGCGUCCUCAAAGAAGCAGAUCCGAACGCCAAAAGACUCCAAACAUACAUGAAAAAUUCUGGCACGAACUCUUCAGAGAUCGCGAGUCUAUUGUGCAACAAUACCAAUUUGUUAAAUGAGAAAAUUCUGACAUCUGAGGGCAAAAAUUACACGAGUGAUGAAGAGCCGGACUUACUCGCCGUAUUCAUAAAGUGCGAAACAUCAUCUUAA